CCUCAGCUAGCUGGCAACGGGGCAGAUGGUGCUCGUGUGGAGGUAAAUCACAGCCCCGAGGGAAGAAGGGCUCGGGUGGAGCCCUGGUGCGAGGAUCCACCCGCACCAGCAGCCCAGACGUGGGCUAAAAAGGACAAGCAUAUAAGUGGGCAGAGUUGGUACAAGACUGGCUUCUCCAAACAGCUGCAGUUUAAUUUAUAGCAAAAAACCCCAAGAAUAUGUAAUAGCUAAGGACACACAUGUUCUGUGACAAGAAAAUUACAAAAUUUUGCUAUAGAACACAUCUUGCCACUUCUUGAAAAGGUAAGAUUUAUUAAAUAGCUUUAUUUAUAGAGCAAUAUCUGAAAGAUGAAAAAUGUCAGUGUUUUAAUAUAAACUUGCCCUUUAAGGAAACAGGAGACUAAUAAAAAUUAAAAGGUCUAAAACAUGGAUCAGAAAGAAACAAGCUCCCUGUGUUGGUAACAUGAAUAUUUUCAUUAUUUAUGAUGACAGUUACAGGGAAGAGGUUGGGGAAAAUGUUUCAAGUUACAAAUAGCAGUCUGUGAGUUACUGCUGUUAGACUACAGAAUUUUUCAUAGCUAUAUUGGUAUCCAUCUUAGCUCUUUCUGUACUCACACUUGGAGACAUCAAGCGGGAUAUAGGAAAACAGGAUGAAUAUGGACAGAGAAAUACAGCAACCUUAACUGCAGAGUUUGUAGUUUAAGUUUGGUUUGUUAAGUUUGUAGUUAAGACUGAUGAGUUUAAGGAGUUUCACAGAAUCUUUCAUAAUUGGCUUAUCAGUCUGCAUCUCAUUAAUUUAGGGUAAAAAACAAUCUGAAAGGUAUUUUUUGCUGACUGUUGUCUCGUAGCCAAAAUAAAACAGAUGACAUGAUUU